rnacentral:rRNA from 1 species
CGGGUGAGUAAUGCUUAGGAAUCUGCCCAGCAGUGGGGGACAACCCGGGGAAACUCGGGCUAAUACCGCAUACGUCCUACGGGAGAAAGCGGGGGACCGCAAGGCCUCGCGCUGCUGGAUGAGCCUAAGUCCGAUUAGCUAGUUGGUAGGGUAAAAGCCUACCAAGGCGACGAUCGGUAGCUGGUCUGAGAGGAUGAUCAGCCACACUGGGACUGAGACACGGCCCAGACUCC